rnacentral:misc_RNA from 1 species
GAUGAAGAACGUAGCGAAAUGCGAUAAGUAAUGUGAAUUGCAGAACUCAGUGAAUCAUCGAAUCUUUGAACGCACAUUGCGCCCGCCAGUAUUCUGGCGGGCAUGCCUGUUCGAGCGUCAUUACAACCCUCAGGCCCCCGGGCCUGGCGUUGGGGAUCGGCGGAAGCCCCCUGUGGGCACACGCCGUCCCUCAAAUACAGUGGCGGUCCCGCCGCAGCUUCCAUUGCGUAGUAGCUAACACCUCGCAACUGGAGAGCGGCGCGGCCAUGCCGUAAAACACCCAACUUCUGAAUGUUGACCUCGAAUCAGGUAGGAAUACCCGCUGAACUUAAGCAUAUCAAUAAGCGGAGGA